GACGAACGCUGGCGGCAUGCCUAAUACAUGCAAGUCGAGCGAACAGAUGAAGUGCUGGCACUUCUGACGUUAGCGGCGAACGGGUGAGUAACACGUAAGGAAUCUACCUAUAAGCGGGGGAUAACAUUCGGAAACGGGUGCUAAUACCGCAUAAUAUCUUCUUCCGCAUGGAAGAAGAUUGAAAGACGGCUCUGCUGUCACUUAUAGAUGACCUUGCGGUGCAUUAGUUAGUUGGUGGGGUAACGGCCUACCAAGACGAUGAUGCAUAGCCGACCUGAGAGGGUGAUCGGCCACAUUGGGACUGAGACACGGCCCAAACUCCUACGGGAGUCAGCAGUAGGGAAUCUUCCGCAAUGGGCGAAAGCCUGACGGAGCAAUGCCGCGUGAGUGAAGAAGGCCUUCGGGUCGUAAAACUCUGUUAUAAGAGAAGAACAAAUUGUAGAGUAACUGCUACAGUCUUGACGGUAUCUUAUCAGAAAGCCACGGCUAACUACGUGCCAGCCGCCGCAGUAA
rnacentral:rRNA from 1 species